CAACCCUCGAGCACCGCUCGGCGUUGGGGGAGCGGCCCGCGCGCCGCCCCCCGAAAUGCAGUGGCGACCUCGCCGCGUUCCUCCCCUGCGCAGUAGCUCUCAAGAGAACCUCGCAUCGGCGGCGCGGCGGCGGUCACGCCGUGAAACACCCCCCUCAAG
rnacentral:misc_RNA from 2 species